UACGAAGGGGGCUAGCGUUGCUCGGAAUCACUGGGCGUAAAGGGUGCGUAGGCGGGUCUUUAAGUCAGGGGUGAAAUCCUGGGAGCUCAACUCCAGAACUGCCUUUGAUACUGAGGAUCUUGAGUUCGGGAGAGGUGAGUGGAACUGCGAGUGUAGAGGUGAAAUUCGUAGAUAUUCGCAAGAACACCAGUGGCGAAGGCGGCUC
rnacentral:rRNA from 1 species